rnacentral:rRNA from 1 species
GACGAACGCUGGCGGCGUGCUUAACACAUGCAAGUCGAACGCUGAAGCUCAGCUUUUGUUGGGUGGAUGAGUGGCGAACGGGUGAGUAACACGUGAGUAACCUGCCCCCUUCUUUGGGAUAACGCCCGGAAACGGGUGCUAAUACUGGAUAUUCACUGGUCUUCGCAUGGGGGUUGGUGGAAAGGGUUUUUCUGGUGGGGGAUGGGCUCGCGGCCUAUCAGCUUGUUGGUGGGGUGAUGGCCUACCAAGGCCUUGACGGGUAGCCGGCCUGAGAGGGUGACCGGUCACAUUGGGACUGAGAUACGGCCCAGACUCCUACGGGAGGCAGCAGUGGGGAAUAAUGCACAAUGGGCGCAAGCCUGAUGCAGCGACGCCGCGUGAGGGAUGGAGGCCUUCGGGUUGUGAACCUCUUUCGCUCAUGGUCAAGCCGCAACAAUGGUUGUGGUGAGGGUAGUGGGUAAAGAAGCGCCGGCUAACUACGUG